AUUGAACGCUGGCGGCGUGCCUAACACAUGCAAGUCGAGCGGCAGCGCGGGAGCAAUCCUGGCGGCGAGCGGCGGACGGGUGAGUAACGCUUGGGAAUCUGCCUGUUAGUGGGGGACAACCCGGGGAAACUCGGGCUAAUACCGCAUACGCACUACGGUGGGAAGCCGGGGACCGCAAGGCCUGGCGCUAACAGAUGAGCCCAAGUCGGAUUAGCUAGUUGGUAGGGUAACGGCCUACCAAGGCGACGAUCCGUAACUGGUCUGAGAGGACGACCAGUCACACUGGGACUGAGACACGGCCCAGACUCCUACGGGAGGCAGCAGGUGGGGAAUCUUGCGCAAUGGGCGAAAGCCUGACGCAGCGACGCCGCGUGAGGGAU
rnacentral:rRNA from 1 species